UACGUAGGGUGCAAGCGUUGUCCGGAAUUAUUGGGCGUAAAGAGCUCGUAGGCGGUUUGUCGCGUCUGCUGUGAAAACUCGGGGCUUAACUCCGGGCCUGCAGUGGGUACGGGCAGACUAGAGGUAGGUAGGGGAGAUCGGAAUUCCUGGUGUAGCGGUGAAAUGCGCAGAUAUCAGGAGGAACACCGGUGGCGAAGGCGGAUCUCUGGGCCUUACCUGACGCUGAGGAGCGAAAGCAUGGGGAGCAAACAGG
rnacentral:rRNA from 1 species